rnacentral:lncRNA from 1 species
AGAUUGUGAAUUGAAAGGCCAACAAUUUACUCGCAAUACUAUAACGCACGACUCCACAAACUAAGAGUGAAGAUGGCGGUGAUUUGCAGGUGAUUAUACGAGCUUGAAAAUGCGUCUGUACGGUAGCGCCACGAAGCGAGACGAGACGAAGACACGAGUUACGCAGAGAACACGCAAUUACGCCGUUGAGCGCGGAAGAGCAUCACGGAAACCGACGGAAUGAGCGUAAAUUUUAAACAAAUACUAAUAAAAUCAUAUCGUCUCAGAUUCUAAUUCAGAUAUUAAUAAAUAUAUUAUUAAUGAUAGAGCAUGUAACGUAGAUACUUUUCACCAUAUUUUAAAAAAAUUGUCUAUUGAGACAGAAAGUGAAGUUGUUAAUUGUGACGAAGAAAACACAAUUUAGUUUACACUUACAAUCAGUGAAUGUGGAAUAAUUUUAGUGGUCGACAGAAAUCAUUUUAUUUAUUAAAAAUU